rnacentral:tRNA from 1 species
GUCCCCUUCGUCUAGCCCGGUCUAGGACACCAGGUUUUCAUCCUGGGUACUGGGGUUCGAAUCCCCAAGGGGGCGCCA